rnacentral:misc_RNA from 1 species
CAGAGUUUUCUAAACUCCCAACCCUAUGUGAACUUACCUUUGUUGCCUCGGCGGAGCCUACCCGGUACCCCUUCCUUUUUGGGAGAGACUACCCUGUAGCCCGCCGGUGGAUUUUCAAACUCUUGUUAUUUUAAUGAUAUCUGAGCGUCUUAUUUUAAUAAGUCA